rnacentral:rRNA from 2 species
GCAUUAUACCGUGAAACUGCGAAUGGCUCAUUAAAUCAGUUAUCGUUUAUUUGAUAGUACCUUACUACUUGGAUAACCGUGGUAAUUCUAGAGCUAAUACAUGCUAAAAACCCCAACUUCGGGAGGGGUGUAUUUAUUAGAUAAAAAACCAACGCCCUUCGGGGCUUCUUGGUGAUUCAUGAUAACUUUACGGAUCGCAUGGCCUUGCGCCGGCGACGGUUCAUUCAAAUUUCUGCCCUAUCAACUUUCGAUGGUAAGGUAUUGGCUUACCAUGGUUUCAACGGGUAACGGGGAAUUAGGGUUCGAUUCCGGAGAGGGAGCCUGAGAAACGGCUACCACAUCCAAGGAAGGCAGCAGGCGCGCAAAUUACCCAAUCCCGACACGGGGAGGUAGUGACAAUAAAUACUGAUACAGGGCUCUUUUGGGUCUUGUAAUUGGAAUGAGUACAAUUUAAACCUCUUAACGAGGAACAAUUGGAGGGCAAGUCUGGUGCCAGCAGCCGCGGUAAUUCCAGCUCCAAUAGCGUAUAUUAAAGUUGUUGCAGUUAAAAAGCUCGUAGUUGAAACUUGGGUCUGGCUGGCAGGUCCGCCUCACCGCGUGUACUUGUCCGGCCGGGCCUUCCUUCUGGAGAACCUCAUGCCCUUCACUGGGCGUGUUGGGGACCAGGACUUUUACUUUGAAAAAAUUAGAGUGUUCAAAGCAGGCCUUUGCUCGAAUACGUUAGCAUGGAAUAAUAGAAUAGGACGUGCGGUCCUAUUUUGUUGGUUUCUAGGACCGCCGUAAUGAUUAAUAGGGACAGUCGGGGGCAUCAGUAUUCAAUUGUCAGAGGUGAAAUUCUUGGAUUUAUUGAAGACUAACUACUGCGAAAGCAUUUGCCAAGGAUGUUUUCAUUAAUCAGUGAACGAAAGUUAGGGGAUCGAAGACGAUCAGAUACCGUCGUAGUCUUAACCGUAAACUAUGCCGACUAGGGAUCGGGCGAUGUUCUUUUUCUGACUCGCUCGGCACCUUACGAGAAAUCAAAG